CCUACGGGAGGCAGCAGUGGGGAAUAUUGCACAAUGGGGGAGACCCUGAUGCAGCGAAGCCGCGUGAGUGAAGAAGGAUUUCGGUAUGUAAAGCUCUAUUAGCAGGGAAGAAAAUGACGGUACCUGAUUAAGAAGCCCCGGCUAACUACUUGCCAGCAGCCGCAGUCAUACGUAGGGGGCAAGGCUUAUCCGGAUGUUAUGGGUGUAAAGGGGGCGUAGACGGGAGCACAAGUCUGGAGUGAAAAGACCGGGGCUCACCCCCGACGUGCUUUUGAAACUGUGCAGCUAGAGUGAGGGAGAGGUAAGUGGAAUGCCUAGUGUAGCGGUGAAAUGCGUAGAUAUUAGGAAGAACACCAGUGGCGAAGGCAGCUUACUGGCGCCAAACUGACGUUGAGGCACGAAAGCGUGGGGAGCAAACAGGAUUAGAUACCCGUGUAGUC
rnacentral:rRNA from 1 species